UACGUAGGUGGCAAGCGUUGUCCGGAAUUAUUGGGCGUAAAGCGCGCGCAGGUGGUUUCUUAAGUCUGAUGUGAAAGCCCACGGCUCAACCGUGGAGGGUCAUUGGAAACUGGGGAACUUGAGUGCAGGAGAGAAGAGUGGAAUUCCACGUGUAGCGGUGAAAUGCGUAGAGAUGUGGAGGAACACCAGUGGCGAAGGCGGUUCUCUGGGCCUGUACUGACGCUGAGGAGCGAAAGCGUGGGGAGCAAACAGG
rnacentral:rRNA from 1 species